GAGCUGCCUGAAGGAUCUUCUGGCAGCUCCUGACCCGACCCUGCAAGCCUCAGCUGCUGGUGGGGCUUUCAGGACAACACUCUGGUGGAUCCAGGGAGCCUCUUCUGGAAGACCACCAGGAUGUGGCUUGGUGCUGGCUUGUCAUGGAGUCCUAAGUAACCUGCUCACAAACACUAAGAUACUCAGACCCUCGAGCCGCAGCAGUGAGUAGCUUCCCCCACCCCACCCCCAAAGCCUCCCAUGGACAAAGAUUCUCCUUAAACAGAAGCUUCAUCAACUUGGAAUGGACCAAGAGACCCUGGUUCUGCUUGUAUAUCCUCAGGUACCGCAGUGCAAAAGGGGAAACUGAGGUCUAGAGAGGAGUCGUAUUUAUCAGAAUUUGCUGUGGCCUGAAGUGUGACCCCACCAGGGAUCCAGGUCCUGGGCCAGGCUAUGUCUCAGCAAAGCCCACGCCUGAGGCCUGUGGUGGAGGAGGGUGGCCGAUGGUUAAGUGAGUUUCCGAGGUCAGGGAGCAAGGACUGUCUGUUCAUCACAUGCCAGGGCUUUUGUCCCCAGUCAGGAUAAAGGAUUUG